rnacentral:rRNA from 1 species
GACGAACGCUGGCGGCGUGCUUAACACAUGCAAGUCGAACGAAGUGGCGAACGGGUGAGUAACGCGUAAUCAACCUGCCCUUCAGAGGGGGACAACCGUUGGAAACGACUGCUAAUACCGCAUACUGAAGGAGGGGAUUGCGUCUGAUUAGCUCGUUGGAGGGGUAACGGCCCACCAAGGCGAGUAUCAGUAGACGGGCUGAGAGGAUGAGCGGCCACAUGUGGACUGAGACACUGCCCAGACUCCUACGGGAGGCAGCAGUGGGGAAUCUUCCGCAAUUGACGAAAGUCUGACGGAGCAACGCCGCGUGAGUGAUGACGGCCUUCGGUUUGUAAAGCUCUGUUAAUCGGGACGCGGUACCGGAAUAGAAAGCCACGACUAACUACGUGCCAGCAGCCGCGGUAAUUC